ensembl:snoRNA small nucleolar RNA SNORA48
CACCCCUGGCAAUGGGCAAAGAGACACCUUAUGUGUGGUGUUGUUCUUAUAUCAGCCAGGGGCAGAGCAGAUGGCAGGCCUUUGUUCAUCCGAGCUUGAUGCCUAGCUUGGUGGCCAAAGCUGUUUCAUGCCUAGGGCACAUAA